rnacentral:rRNA from 1 species
GAUGAACGCUAGCUACAGGCUUAACACAUGCAAGUCGAGGGGAAACGAUGAGAGAGCUUGCUCUCUUAGGCGUCGACCGGCGCACGGGUGAGUAACGCGUAUCCAACCUACCCAUUACAGGGGGAUAACCUUGCGAAAGUAAGACUAAUACCCCAUGGCAUUUUAUGGUGGCAUCAUUAUAGGAUUAAAGAUUUAUUGGUAAUGGAUGGGGAUGCGUCUGAUUAGCUUGUUGGCGGGGUAACGGCCCACCAAGGCAACGAUCAGUAGGGGUUCUGAGAGGAAGGUUCCCCAAAUUGGGACUGAGGCACCGGCCAAACUCCCAAGGGGGGGAGGAAGGAAGAAUAAUUGUCAAAGGGCGGGGGCUUUAACCCACCAAAGUGCGGGCAAGAAGGCCGCCCUAUGGGUUUGUAACCGCUUUUUAUAGGGGAAUAAAGUGAGCUACGUGUAGUUUAUUGCAUGUACCCUAUGAAUAAGGACCGGCUAAUUCCGUG